rnacentral:misc_RNA from 1 species
UAGCCUAUGGCAAAGAAUGCGAACAUUGUCCUUUUCAUUUUAACGAGGAUUUCAAAAUGUCCAACACUGAAAGACACUCUGCAUACUGGCUUACAAGAAAAUAAAUACAAUUCGCCAACACUAUACUUCUCAAGAUUACUCUUCUACAUUCCUGUUGUAUUCUGUCCACGGCAACAUUUCCUUUUAACUUUGAUUAUGGUUUUCCUAAUCUAUCUUUUGUAUGCGUGUUUGGCUUCAAUGUUGAGUUCUCAUCAGUGGAUUACCAUUUGCUAUGAUUUAAAUAACAAUGUUCGCAUUCUUUGCCAUAGGCUACUUGAAGCUGUAGGUGCAGCAAUUUGUCCUUCCAUGAUCAUUUCAACACCAGGGCCCAUUUCGUGAACAAGUUUGACAGAUUCUGAUAGUCGAUUAAGGAGAUUCAUCAGGGCAAUCACUUCAUUCCUUUGUAACUGCAAAAUCUGACCCAAGUGACCCCAGCCAUUAUCAGAGAAGAGAAUUUUCAGUGCUGUACCUAGACCAAGAACCUGAAGCUUUCCCCAAAGUCGACACUUCUCACAGCCUACACAGUCCAUCAAUGCACUAAUGUUUCUGAAUUGUUCUUGAAUAUUCUGUUUCAGUUCAGGUCCACGUUGACCCUUCCACAACUUAGCUUCAUCAAAUGGGAGAGGGCAUGCUGCUUGAAGUUUUGGAUUAUAGAGUAAUUGUCUCAUCAAGGAAUGAGCCUUGAGGUCUUCAGUAGGGUUACCAGUGUCAUAUUCAGCUUGUUCCAAGUAAUCUUGAGCCUUCAUAACAGCUCGGAGAACAAAAAGGUAUGUGAAGUACAGGUUUCUAACACGAUCAGGGUAUCUUAAAACCCGAUCAUACAUCAAUGUAGCAUUGCAGCCCCACAAGUUUUUAGAUUUGUCAAGUAGAUAACGAUCUGCUAUGUGAAUUGAAAUAGAGGAGUGAAGACCAGAUAUCAACUUGUACAAUAUCCUUUCCUCUUGACACAACUCUUCAGAUGGAUAUUUGGGGCAGUUCUCAGAGUAAACAGCAUCCCAUAUCCUCCUAGCUGAUGGACCAGAGUAGCCAGUGUAUUGUUCAGGGUUCAACUGAAGAUUCACAUAUGUCAUCUCAGCAUUGUCAGUCUCAUCAUCAUUUGUCCAGGGAUUGUCUAUUUCUGUCCAUCCCCUAAAUGCUUUACUAUCAAGGGUACGAUCAACAGCAGCCUGAGGCUUUCCUUCUUGACAUUGAAGAUCAUCUGAUGGAAGGCCUCGAUGGAAAGGUGUCCUAAAUGAUUUGGGGAAUUCACUUUCUGGGCAUUCACAAACACUGCAAUCCCUUAAGUGGCACAUGCCAUCGUCAGGCCAGAAAGGGCAGUCACACCCCAACUUAACCUUGAAGUAUCGAAAAAAUGGGGUUUUCACGAGAUCUUGGAGAGAUGGAUACAACACUUCUUCAUUAAGACGGUCCACUGUCUCAUAGUCGCAACAACAAUCCUCCACCAUCCCACUAUACUUCUGAGAGCAGCUACAAGGGUGUCUGAAUAGAGAGAUCUUAGGGGUAGUAAUCGAAGCCGUAGUUAAAGCAACAAUCAGAGCAAUGACG